GAAGCAGAGGAGAGAGGAAGACAUAGAGAGAAACUGAGUCUAAGAGCCAAAAGUGAGCUGGAGGACCACAGCGGGAGAGGGAGACAGCAGGCAGACGGAGACAUUGGAAGCCAUCGGACGCAUCCAACACACCCACCUGACAAAUGGAAAGAUGAGCCCCAGAGAGAACAGGGACUUGCCCAAGAUCUCACAGGAAAACCCGAGACUCACGUCUGUCCAGCUGCUCUGCAAAGCUUGCAGACGCUCCCUCCAUCCUGACCUGGGGGGAAAACUGGACAGUCACGCACAGGCGGCCAUGUGAUGAUGAAGGCACAGUUUGGAGUCACACGUCUACAACACCAGGAACGAAUGCCAAAGAAACUGGCAGCCACCAGAGUUUGGAAGAUGCAAGGAAGGAUCCUCUCCUAGAGCCUUGAGAGAUAGCAGGGCCUGGCUGACCCCUGAAUUUUGGACUUCUGGCCUUUAGAACUGUGAGAGAAUAAAUUUCUGUUGUGUUGAGCCACCCAGUACUUUGUGACAGCAGCCCGGGAAACUGACCUGAUAGACACUGGCCCCAGUCAUCGCCCUCUGCGCCAUCACCACACCUCCCCUCUGCGAAUCAACCACGACCACAGGACACCUCCUUCUGGAAUCUCUCUGUGCCCACUCACUCCCCAGAUGAGCACUGCCUCUUUCCCUGGCAACUCCCCGGACUGUGUUACCCCCUCCUCUGGCAUGGCCUGGACCCA